rnacentral:rRNA from 1 species
GAUGAACGCUAGCGGCAGGCCUAAUACAUGCAAGUCGAACGAUAGUGAGAAGCUUGCUUCUCACGAAAGUGGCGCACGGGUGCGUAACGCGUAUGCAACCUACCUUAAUCAGGGGGAUAGCCCGAAGAAAUUCGGAUUAACACCGCAUAAAAUCACAGUAUAGCAUUAUACAAUGAUCAAAUAUUUAUAGGAUUAAGAUGGGCAUGCGUGACAUUAGUUAGUUGGCGGGGUAACGGCCCACCAAGACCACGAUGUCUAGGGGAUCUGAGAGGAUGACCCCCCGCGCUGGUACUGAGACACUGACCAGACUCCUACGGGGGGCAGCAGUAAGGAAUAUUGGUCAAUGGAGGCAACUCUGAACCAGCCAUGCCGCGCGCAGGAAGACAGCCCUCUGGGUCGUAAACUGCUUUUAUUCGGGAAUAAACCUAUCUACGUGUAGAUAGCUGAAUGUACCGAAGGAAUAAGGAUCGGCUAACUCCGUGCCAGCCGCCGCAGUAA